UACGUAGGGGGCUAGCGUUGUCCGGAAUCAUUGGGCGUAAAGAGCGUGUAGGCGGCCCGGUAAGUCCGCUGUGAAAGUCGGGGCUCAACCCCGUCGAAUGCCGGUGGAUACUGUCGGGCUAGAGUGCGGAAGAAGGCGAGUGGAAUUCCUGGUGUAGCGGUGAAAUGCGCAGACUAUCAGGAGGAACACCGAUGCGAAGGCAGCUCGCUGGGACGUACUGACGCUGAGACGCGAAAGCGUGGGAGCAAACAGG
rnacentral:rRNA from 1 species